UAGGGAAUCUUCCGCAAUGGACGAAAGUCUGACGGAGCAACGCCGCGUGUGUGAAGAAGGAUUUCGGUUCGUAAAACUCUGUUGUUAGGGAAGAAAAAAUGUAUAGUAACUAUAUACAAAAGAGACGGUACCUAACCAGAAAGCCACGGCUAACUACGUGCCAGCAGCCGCGGUAAUACGUAGGUGGCAAGCGUUGUCCGGGAUUAUUGGGCGUAACGCGCGCGCAGGUGGUUUAGAAAGUCUGAUGUGAAAGCCCACGGCUCAUCCGUGGAGGGUCAUUGGAAACUAAUAAACUUGAGUGCAGGAGAGAAAAGUGGAGUUCCUAGUGUAGCGGUGAAAUGCGUAUAGAUUAGGGGGAACACCGCGAGCGAGAGCGGCUUUUUGGCCUGCAACUGACACUGAGGCGCGAAAGCGUGGGGAGCAAACAGA
rnacentral:rRNA from 1 species